rnacentral:rRNA from 1 species
AGUGGCGCACGGGUGCGUAACGCGUAUACACCUACCUUAUACAGGGGUAUAGCCCAGGGAAACUUGGAUUAACACCCCAUAGUUUGGCAUCAUUAAAACUACGGUGGUAUAAGAUGGGUAUGCGUCCCAUUAGCUUGUUGGUGUGGUAACGGCACACCAAGGCAACGAUGGGUAGGGGCCCUGAGAGGGGGAUCCCCCACACUGGUACUGAGACACGGACCAGACUCCUACGGGAGGCAGCAGUGAGGAAUAUUGGACAAUGGGCGGGAGCCUGAUCCAGCCAUGCCGCGUGCAGGAAGACUGCCUAUGGGUUGUAAACUGCUUUUAUACGGGAAGAAACCCACCUACGUGUAGGUGGCUGACGGUACCGUAAGAAUAAGGACCGGCUAACUCCGUGCCAGCAGCCGCGGUAAUACGGAGGGUCCGAGCGUUAUCCGGAAUCAUUGGGUUUAAAGGGUCCGCAGGCGGCCAGAUAAGUCAGUGGUGAAAUUCCGUGGCUCAACCACGGAACUGCCAUUGAUACUGUUUGGCUUGAAUCAGUUCGAGGAUGCCGGAAUGUGUGGUGUAGCGGUGAAAUGCAUAGAUAUCACACAGAACACCAAUUGCGAAGGCAGUGUCAGAACUGUAUUGACGCUGAAUGACGGAAGCGUUGGUAGCGAACAGGAUUAGAUACCCUGG